rnacentral:lncRNA from 1 species
CUUGAUUACCUAUGUCGGUUGCCUUAAGCUUUCAGUUCUGCACAAAGCGCAGCCGCAGGAGAAAGGCCUACUGGAAUCUCGUUGAGGUCUGGAAGCGCAGGCCGUACGUGGACGUUACCGCUCAUACAGCUCCCAGCCAGCAAGCAGUUAGCCUUCCUCUACAAGGANCCAUUUAUAUUGGCGGGAUAAUUUAUGGAAGAAUAGCUAAUCGUAAAAUAACUAAUUUUGUGAUAAGUUAUUUUCAAUCAAAUAAUGCUUUAAUCUUUAAUUUAUUUUAUUAUUAUAUUUUUUAAAAUAUUUAUUUUAUUAUAUUUAAAGAGCAAUUUGAUAAAAUUAUUUCUUAUCAUUUACGUAUCGAGUUAAUAAAGAACAAAUAAAGAUGGAUGAAAAAUGACUUUUUCUUAUUGAAAAUAAAUAAACAUACCCCUCUACAACAACAACAUACCCAGUAAAAUUUCACAAGUGAGAUUUGGGGAGGGUAGGAUGUACGCAGACCUUACCACUACCUAAGUAGAGAGUCUGUUUCCUGGGAACCCUCAUCUCAAAAACCCAUCUCAACAUACCCCUCUAUAUUUUUAAAAUCUAAAAAUAUCUUUAUCUUUAAAUUUAAUAGGUUGGUGUCUGGCCGUGAGUAUAGUAGGGUAAUAAGAGUUGGUCAAUGUUAUUUUUAUUUGUUUUAUAUUUGUUAAUUGUCUCCUAUUUGCUUGCUAUCAUGUAUUUUUUUGUUAUUUGUCACUCUUUUUGUUCACGUUCUCUUUCUCUUCAUUUUCUAUUUUUCAUGUCUAAUUUAUUCAGCUUAUGAAUUUUUAUAACAAGGAUUUUUAAAAAGUAUUCUCUCUAACUCUAUAUGAGGUAAUGAUAAAAUUUGCAUAUAUUCUAUAUUGCUACUGUAAAAUAUCUUUAAAUUAUUAAAAAUAACAUAAAAAGAUCAUUGUUGUAGCAAAUUAGCCUCCUAAAAGAAAGGGUCCAUCUACAUCUCACCACCAUCAUUUUGACAUAAAAUUUGGUAUUUGGUGCUUAAGCCCAAUAUAUUAUUCAUCACAUUAAUUUAUUUUUUAAAUAUUUUAAUAUUAUUUUGUUAUACAAAUUUUUUUAAUUAAUAUUAGAUUAAUUGUAUAGGUUUUGAUUGAAUUGCUGCUUGAUUACCUAUGUCGGUUGCCUUAAGCUUUCAGUUCUGCACAAAGCGCAGCCGCAGGAGAAAGGCCUACUGGAAUCUCGUUGAGGUCUGGAAGCGCAGGCCGUACGUGGACGUUACCGCUCAUACAGCUCCCAGCCAGCAAGCAGUUAGCCUUCCUCUACAAGGAAUGGAAGUGUGGAUGAAUCGACAUCAAAUAUAGGAUUGUUGUUGUACACGAUCUCCAUUUUAGUAGUCCUAGCUAUCCACUCCACUAUGUGGUAGAG